rnacentral:rRNA from 1 species
AAUUGAAGAGUUUGAUCAUGGCUCAGAUUGAACGCUGGCGGCAGGCCUAACACAUGCAAGUCGAACGGUAACAGGAAGAAGCUUGCUUCUUUGCUGACGAGUGGCGGACGGGUGAGUAAUGUCUGGGAAACUGCCUGAUGGAGGGGGAUAACUACUGGAAACGGUAGCUAAUACCGCAUAACGUCGCAAGACCAAAGAGGGGGACCUUCGGGCCUCUUGCCAUCGGAUGUGCCCAGAUGGGAUUAGCUAGUAGGUGGGGUAACGGCUCACCUAGGCGACGAUCCCUAGCUGGUCUGAGAGGAUGACCAGCCACACUGGAACUGAGACACGGUCCAGACUCCUACGGGAGGCAGCAGUGGGGAAUAUUGCACAAUGGGCGCAAGCCUGAUGCAGCCAUGCCGCGUGUAUGAAGAAGGCCUUCGGGUUGUAAAGUACUUUCAGCGGGGAGGAAGGGAGUAAAGUUAAUACCUUUGCUCAUUGACGUUACCCGCAGAAGAAGCACCGGCUAACUCCGUGCCAGCAGCCGCGGUAAUACGGAGGGUGCAAGCGUUAAUCGGAAUUACUGGGCGUAAAGCGCACGCAGGCGGUUUGUUAAGUCAGAUGUGAAAUCCCCGGGCUCAACCUGGGAACUGCAUCUGAUACU